rnacentral:rRNA from 1 species
CAAAGGAGGAGCGUGGCAGACGGGUGAGUAAUGUGUAGGAACAUACCUUUUCAUUUGGAAUAACGUUUGGAAACGAACGAUAAUACCAAAUAAGCCCUAAGGGGGAAAGAUUUAUCGUGGAAAGAGUGGCCUAUAUCGGAUUAGGUAGUUGGUAGGGUAAGAGCUUACCAAGCCUAUGAUCUGUAGCUGAUCUGAGAGGAUGAUCAGCCACACUGGGACUGAGGCACGGCCCAG